GAUGAACGCUAGCGGCAGGCCUAAUACAUGCAAGUCGAACGGUGUAGCAAUACACAGUGGCGCACGGGUGCGUAACACGUAUGCAACCUACCUUACAUUGGGGGAUAGCCUUUCGAAAGGGAGAUUAAUACCGCAUAAGACAGUAACUGGGCAUCUAGUAGCUGUUAAAGAUUUAUCGAUGUAAGCUGGGCAUGCGUCCAAUUAGUUAGUUGGUGAGGUAACGGCUCACCAAGACGAUGAUUGGUAGGGGAACUGAGAGGUCAAUCCCCCACACGGGCACUGAGAUACGGGCCAGACUCCUAUGGGAGGCAGCAGUAGGGAAUAUUGGGCAAUGGGCGCAAGCCUGACCCAGCCAUGCCGCGUGCAGGAAGAAGGCGUUAUGCGUCGUAAACUGCUUUUAUACAGGAAGAAACGACCCUUGCGAGGGGCAUUGACGGUACUGUAUGAAUAAGCACCGGCUAACUCCGUGCCAGCCGCCGCGGUAAUAC
rnacentral:rRNA from 1 species